AAUUUCGAGUUUUGAGUGAGAGAAAAGAAGAAAAAAACAGUGAAACCCCUAAAUUAGAUUUCAUCGAUCCAUCUCCGCAUCUUCUCCUCUGAUAUCUCUUCAAACCCUAGAGAUUGUUUCUGUAUUUGAUUAGUGAUAAAGCCACCUUAAAACCCUAGAUUCAAACUUCAAAAUCAGGUUCCAAUAAACUUCGGGAAGUUAUUUUUAAUUACUUGGGCGACCAAUUGCUGUGGUAGCUGCACAAUUUACAGCAUAUUGGGAAGAAUUUGUCUCACUGUUGCUGUGGUGAAGCUGAUAAGAAAAAUUGGUAGGGUUUCAUAUUGUGGUUGAGAUCAGCAUUUGCUUCCGGAAAGAACAAUUAAUGUGUUUAGCAGUGAGAUGGCUAAUCCUGGUGUUGGGAGUAAGUUUCUAUCUGUAAAUUUGAAUAGAUCUUAUGGGCAACCUUCGAAUUCAUAUGGAGGAAAUAGACCAAGAUCAGGUAGUCGUGGAGUUGGUAGUGGGAUGGUUGUUUUAUCCAGACACCAGAGUUCCAUUAUGGGUGUUCAAAAAACUGGACCUAAACUUUCUGUUCCACCCCCCAUGAAUUUGCCUUCAUUGAGAAAGGAACAUGAAGGUUUUGAUUCUUCGGCUUCUGUUAGUGGUGCAGUUGGUUCAGGUAAUAUUGGUUCUGGAUCAAGACCUACUUCCUCAGGUAUGGGUUGGUCGAAACUUGCUCCUUCAGCUUUUCAGGAGAAAGAUGCCGGUGAUGAUCACCAUGCUAAAUUAGUAGGAGAUAACCAGAUUGUUAAUGGUAGCAAUGAUUUAUCUUCAUAUUCAUCAUCUGAUGUGACAUCAGGAAGAGCUAGUGGAAGUGUUUAUAUGCCUCCGUCAGCAAGGUCGGGCACACUUGGGUCUGUAGUUCAUUCAUCGCGGCCUUCUCCAGUAGUGGAUAAAGCUAUGGUACUGAAAGGUGAAGAUUUCCCGUCGUUGCAAGCUACUUUGUCGUCUGCGUCUGGUGUUAUUCAGAAACAACAUAAUGUUUCACAGCAUAGGCAGAAGCAGAGAGUGAUGGAGGAAGCAUUUGAUCAGCUGAAGGAUAGUUCUUAUUCAGGGACAUCAAAUCACAUGCGCCCACAGUUUCAAUCUUCUCGACCUAGUCGCAGCUCAGAUGAGAGUCCUGUUGCGGGUUCUGGGUUGAGUAGCUCUGACACUGUUGAAAAAUCAAGGAAACCAGAUACAUACUUUCCUGGUCCUCUACCACUUGCCCAAUUAAAACACACAUCUGAUUGGGCUGACGAUGAAAGGGACACUGGUCAUGGUAUUUCAGAUAGAGAAAGAGAUCAAAAUACCAGAGAAAGAGAUCGUGGGUACUCUAGGAAUGAAUCAUCUUGGGGUAAUGACUUUGAUUUUCCGAGGGUUGGUGUGAUGCCUCGAGCGUCGGUUCCUAAUCUUUCUGAAGGGAGAGGUAUGCUCGAUGGUGAAGGGGAAAAGGUCCCGACGACGAAAUUUGCUAGAGGCAGCACUUACAACAGAGAUGUAAGAACAUCUAGUGGCAGAGGGGGUGGUUACAAUGCACGGGAUCGAUACGGUAUUGAUCAGUCCGACCGUUACAGAGGUGACUUCUUCCCCAAAAGCUUAGUCCCAAAGACAUCUUUUUCUUUGGGAACUAGGGGUCCUGCUGUGAACGAUCCAGUUUUUAAUUUUAUUAAAGAAAAGCGUUCGAGCAGUGUGAAACAAUACCUGGAUGAUCCAUUUCUGAAAGAUAUUAUCAGUGGGCCUGGUCUUGAUGCGAGAGAUCCAAUCACUGGAGGUCUUGUCGGGGUGUUCAAGAGGAAGAAAGAUUCUUCAAAACAGGCUGAUUUCCAUGACCCUGUUAGAGAAUCAUUUGAGGCUGAACUUGAGAGAGUUCAAAAGAUGCAAGAGCAAGAGAGGCAACAAAUCCUUGAUGAACAAACCAGAGCAGUGGAGCUUGCCCAAAAAGAAGAGGAGGAUAGGGAACGUUUUGCGAGGGAAGUGAUAGAACGUCGGAGAAGGCUUGAAGAAGAAGCCAGAGAAGUUAAGUGGAGAGCAGAACAAGAGCGCUUGGACGCCAUACGAAGGGCAGAAGAGCAGAAGACUGCAAGAGAAGAAGAAAGACGAAGAAUGCAUAUGGAGGAAGAGAGGAGGAAAGAAGCUGCCAGGAAAAAGCUUUUGGAGUUGGAGGCCAGGAUUGCAAGGAGACAAUUUGAAGCGAAGGAUGACAAGUUUUCUACUGGUGCUGCUGUCAGAGAUGACAAAGUGUAUGGAUUGGCUACGGAUAGAGAUGUCUCCAUGGCGACAGAUGUGGUAGAUUGGGAAGAUGGUGAGAGGAUGGUAGAAAGAAUCACCAAUUCUGCAUCUUCUGAUUCCUCCAAUCCGACUAGAUCUAUAGAGAUGGGUUCUAGGCCUCCUUAUACAAGAGGCGGAGAUUCGGUAUUUUCUGAUAGAGCAAAACCUGGAAAUGCAUGGAGGAGGGAUGUGUUUGAACAUGGAAACAGCUCCAGCUUCAUGCUGCAUGAUCAGGACAAUGACAACCGAGGUCCAAGACAGGAUACGUUUGGCGCCAAACAAGCAGUUUCCAGAAAGGAUUUAUAUGACAGUUCUGGAUUCGUAUCAGGCACGGGGUCGUCUUCAAAAGGAGGGUUCUCGGAACCUCACCAAUUAGAUGAUUUCCCUCAUUUGAGAGGGCACAAGUGGAACUUUGGAGGUGAGAUGGAUCAUUAUGGCAGAAACUCGGAUAUUGAUGCUGAAUAUUAUGACAACACGACGGAUAAGUUUGGUGAUAUAGGCUGGGGGCAAGGACGUCCUCGUGGUAGUCUGCACUCUCCUUACCCAGAAAGGCUGUAUCAGAACUUUGAAGGGGAUGGUUUUUUUUCGUAUUCAAGGUCAAGACAAUCUGUGAGGCAGCCUCGGGUUCUUCCACCACCAUCACUGUCUUCCAUUCAUAAAAAUAUCAGAGGUGACAUGGAAAACGCUAGCUCUUCCGCGUCUUUGGAUAAUGAGACGAGGUACCAUCAUCCAUCGACAGAAAAUGAAGCGAGUCUGGCAAAUGUACAGUCUGAGACCAUCGUCCAAGAGCAGAAAGUUGAAAAGGCUAUAUCUUCCUGGUGUGACUCUCAAUCCUCGCUCUGUGUUUCUAGCCCGCCUCAUUCACCUAUUCAUCUCUCUGACUAUGACCUAGAGGACUCUGGGGAUUCUCCUGUCUUACAAACUGCUGCAAAAGGUGAAGAAUUUUUGUUGUCAGAGAAUGAGCAUGACUUUUCAGUAGCUGUGGAUAGAAACACAAAUAACUCAGAAAAUGUUUCUCCUGCUGAAGAUGAAGAGUGGGCUAUCGAGAAUGAUGAAGAGUUGCAGGAGCAAGAAGAAUAUGAUGAGGAUGAUGGUUACCUCAAAGAAGAUGAAAUCCAAGAAGGCGAUGAUGAAGAGUUGGCUAGUGAUUUCCUCUCAACUCCAAUAGUCCAGCUGGAAGAGGAGGAAGGUCCUUCAGGAAUAUCUAAUGGUGACACAAUUGAGCCUGAUAACCCUUCUGCAAUCUUAGAUGAUGCUAAAAAACAGAUUCUUGAGACGAGGCGUCUCUUUGUUCGCAAUCUUCCAUACACUGCAAGUGAGGAAGAUCUGGCAGAGAUUUUUGGUAAAAUUGGUGAUAUCUCGGAGGUGCAUCUUGUUGUUGAUAGAGAUACCAAUCGAUCAAAAGGAGUUGCUUAUGUUCUCUUUAAACUUCCAGAAUUUGCAGUUAGGGCAUUUGAAGAGUUAAACAAUUCAUUAUUCCAAGGCCGGUUAUUGCAUAUUCUGCCAGCAAAACAGCGAAGCGUUGCUACAGAUGCUUCAUUGUAUUUAGAAAGGGCUCCUGGCAGUAUCCUCUCUCCAAGUUCAACAUCAGAGGCUGAUGCACAGAAGUAUGGCGUGGUUGGUGAAAACAAUGUCAACAGAGCAACUGUUGAGCAAGAGAUGGAAGCAAUAUCUGAUCCUGAUAGAGUGGAGUCACGGUCUCUAUUUGUUAAAAAUUUGAAUUUCAGUACGUCUGAUGAGAAUUUGAAAAAGCAUUUCACUGAAAAGAUAAAGGAGGGACGAAUCCAUGUCCAGCCUAUGAUGCCAGCAGUUUCAUCUGGUGUUAGUCAGGGUGAAGUACCAAUGAACCUUCAAUUUGGCCUUUUUUCGGGUCCAUCUUUGAUACCAUCUCCAGUUCCAGCCGUACAGGUUGGUCCUAUUCAGAUGCCUGUACACAUACAUCCUCAGGUGGGCUCAACUGUAACUCACAUGCACCCUUCACAACCUCCUUUCUUCCAAUUUGGUCAGCUAAGGUAUGCAUCUCCCAUGUCCCAAGGAAUAUUGCCUUUAGCUUCUCAGUCAGUGUCUUUUGUUCAGCCCCCCGUCCCCACCCAUUAUUCUUUUAAUCAAAACCAGGAGAGUGCUGUAAAUAUUCCAGCAAGCCAGGUGUCUGUAAUCCAUCAACCAGAGUCAUCUGUGAUGUUUAAUGACCAACCUGGUGUGCCGAAGCUCUCAAAUAUAUCUCAGGAUAAACCUAGGGAGGUGACUGUGUUAGCAAGUCGACAAGACCAAGAGAAUGAAGUUUUGACUUCUCAUAGUCAGGCGCAGAACUCCAUUUUACCCAACAGUGAGAGCAGAUCCGAAACCCUUGUUCAAGAUCAGAGGCAACAUGAUAUGGCUGUGAAGAAAAACAGUAGAUAUGCACCUAACAUUAAUGAAUCUCAAGGUCAAGUGCAAGCUGAAUCUACCAAGUCUCAGUUUGUGCCAAGGGAUCCAGGCCCAAUAUCUAAUAGCAGAAGGAAGAGGUUUGUAUAUACAGUCAAGAACUCUGGAUCAAGACCUUCAUUCCCGGUUUCUGAAGCUCCUCACUCAGAUUUUAGUGGGUUUCAUAAAAGGCCUCGUCAAAAAUUUCGACGUACGGAGUUUAGGGUAAGAGAAAAUGUUGAGAAGAGGCAUACAGAAAGUGUCGGAUCUUCUGAAAACUCUGGGAUGGAUGAAAGGUUGAAUUUCAAUGGUAGGAUGUCAGGAUAUUCUGGGAGAAAUGGGGUGGUUAAGAAGGAAUUCGGGUACAAUGAACAAUCAAAGCAUCUAGUUGAAUCUGCAGGUUUAAAUUUUGAUUCCAGUGGCUCACGUGUUGCUGACUCAGACAGCAAUACAGAGAAACAACCUGGUAAAGAGGCUACCGCAAAGAGGCUGACCUCUUCACUCAAUGUAUUGGACAGUGGAGAAGGAAACCCUAAAAGGAAUAGCAGUUCAGUGGAGGAUGUUGAUGCUCCUAUGCAAAGUGGUAUCGUGCGUAUUUUUAGGCAAACCGGGAUAGAAGCUCCGAGUGAUGAAGAUGAUUUCAUUGAAGUGAGGUCUAAGAGGCAGAUGCUGAUUGAUCGACGAAAACAGAGGGAAAGGGAAAUUAAGGCCAAAUCUCGGAUAGCAAAGGCAUCUCGGAAACCUAGUUAUGCAUCACAAGAUCCUAAAGCUCCAGUGUAUUCAAAUAAACCAUCAACACUAUUGGUCGCAGAAGCAGCCAGCAGUGUUCCUUCUACUUCUCUUGUUUCUGAUGGCACUUCCAAUGUUGAAGUGGUACCUGCAUUUAAAAGUGCCAUAGCUUCACAACCCCUGGCUCCUAUUGGGACCCCUGCUCAUAAUUCCGAUGGCAAUGCUGUCACGAGGGCUCACUCUAUUAAACCUCUAAAGAACAUCUCCGUUCCUGGAAUAUCAAACAAUGGAACUAACCUUGCUCCUGGCUCAUCAUUGGCUAAUAAGAGCGUUGCGAUGCCAGCAUAUUUGGGCUCUUGGGGUAGUGCCCGAAUUAAUCAGCAGGUCAUGACUUUAACCCAGACACAACUUGACGAUGCUAUGAAGACAGCACGGUUUGAUUCGCAUGUUCCUUUUAUUGGUGAUCUCACCACUGCUGCUGUUGAUCGCAGCAAACCAUCAUCAUCCAUCUUGUCACAGGAAAAAUUAUAUUCUUCCACAGCAAGCCCUCUCAGCUCCCUUCUUGCUGGGGAGAAAAUUCAAUUUGGUGCGGUGACAUCUCCAACUAUUCUACCUUCUAGCAGCCGAGCUAUUUCAAGUGAUCUUGGACCUCCUGACUCAUCUAGGCCAGAUUCUUCUGUUGACCACACUUUAUCUGCAGUUGAGAGUGAUUGCUCAUUUUUUGAGAAAGAACAGUGUCCUGAUAAAUCAUGUGCUCGUUUAGAUGAUCCUGAGGCUGAAGCAGAAGCUGAAGCUGCUGCUUCCGCUGUUGCUGUUGCUGCUAUUGGUAGUGAUGAGAUUGUUGGUGUAUCCCCUGUCUCAACAUCUGAUACACAAGGUUUUGAAGAUGACGACAUCGGAAGCUUAGCUUCAGGAGGUGGAUCAGGGAACCAACAAUCGACAAGUCAACCAAGGGGUGAAGAAUCCCUCAGCGUAGCUCUUCCCGCUGAUCUCUCCGUGGAAACUCCCUCCCUGUCCUUAUGGCCACCUUUACCUAGUCCGCAAAUAUCAUCCAGCCAAAUGCUUUCACAUUUUCCUGGAGCUCCUCCUCCUCAUUUCCCUUGCUACGAGAUGAACCCUAUGUUAGGAGCACAGAUAUUUUCCUUUGCUCCUCAUGAUGAAUCUGCUAGCACUGAUUCACAGUCACAAAAGAGCAGUAUGUCAGGUUCUGGGCCUUUGGGAGGCUGGCAACCAUACCCUUCUGGCGUUGAUCCCUUCUAUGGCCCUCCGGCAGGUUUCACUGGCCCAUUCAUUGGUCCAUCUGGAGGAAUCCCAGGUGUCCAAGGUCCUCCUCACAUGGUUGUGUACAACCAUUUCACACCAGUUGGACAGUUUGGGCAAGUUGGUUUAAGUUUCAUGGGUGCUACGUACAUUCCUUCUGGAAAGCAACCUGACUGGAAGCACCAUCCUAUUCCUUUAACAACGGGUACAAGUGAGGGAGACAUGAAUAACCUAAAUAUAGCAUCUGCUCAAAGCAAUCCGUCGAGUACCCCUACUCCUAUUCCACAUCUGGCCCCUGGGUCACCACUCUUGCCUCUUGGAUCGCCCUUUGCCAUGUUUGGCGUGUCUCAGUUCCAGCCUCCUACAGAUGUGCCAGUCCAAGCUCGCUGGUCCCAUGUUCCUGCAUCGCAUCUUCAUUCUGUUCCGCUGUCGGUGCCGUUGCAACAAGGUGAGGGUGGUUUACCUCCUCAGUUCAGUCACGGAUUAUGUAUGGAUCAAUCAGUUGUCAACAGAUUUCAUGAUGCAUGUUCCGUAUCCCCAGCUCAAGACACUCGUAGGAAUUUUCCUGUGUCAAAUAGUGCUACUACUGCCGCUCAAUUCCCUAAUGAACUUGGGUUGGUGGACCCUGCAAUCUCCACAGGCUCUCAUGUUCUAAAUGGCAGCAGGACUACAGCGUUUAGUUCAUCAAAUACAUCGUUUUGCUCAACAAAUAGUAAUGCAAAUGUCCAUAACAUUGUCUCAAAGAACUCACCAAGAAUCAAUGCUGGAAAUAAUGGAGUUGAUGGUGGAGUCCACAACAGCAGCAACAACCAGAGCAUGAAUUCUGCUCAUAAGAUUCAAUCUUCUACCCAUCACCAUCAAAACUCAACCCAUCAACAGUAUCUUCAUCCCACAUCUGGGUAUAGUAAUUUAGAUCAGAGAGAAAAAGUAAGUUCAAGUUCAGGUUCAGGAGGUGAAUGGUCUCAUCGAAGGAUGGGUGGAUUUCAGGGAAGGAACCAAUCAUCAAGGGUAGACAAUAAGAAUUACACUGCUUUGAAAACAAAGCAAAUAUAUGUAGCUAAGACAACGACAAGCGGAACAAGUGGAAUGUCAACACAGGAUUGAGAAACUAAUACUGAUGACACACUGUGGGUCUUAUUCCAAGAACUUCAGGUAAAAAAAGUUAAAAGGUUACUGAUGAAGUGAUGGAACCACAGUAACAAAGCAGGAAGCUGAGAAUGCUCUCCAGCAGCUUUCAAGUGUCCAUUUGCUGCUCAAUUCACUGACGAGCAAUGGAUACGAAAAAAGAAAACCCAUGGACAUUUUCGGCAAAUGCCGCAACUCUGAUGUUGUCUUUGGAUUGCCCCGUUAAUGCUAGGCCUCUGUGUUAAAGACGGAUGUAUUACAAAAUCGCCAAAGAGAAAGAGGUAACAUGUAUUUCACCUUGUUAUCUGAUUUUUUGUUGUUAGUUCUGACAUCCCAGUGGCCCCAAAUUUUCAUGCCCGGGUAUUGUAAGUAUUGAGUUACUUUAUCGAUAUAAGAAGUUUUCUUUGUCUUCAUAUCUGUCUGAUUUCUCUAUAUCUAUAAAGAAUUUGAGGUUCUGUAUCGAUGUAAUACGCAGCUUUUUGGAGUAAAUCUAGCACUAUUUUGUUGUUUACUUCAACGACUUGUCUCCAAUAGUUUCUGCUUUUAUAUUAUCUUCAAAGUUGGUUCCCAGUUCAGGACGAAAACAUCAUAAUAAGAUUUUGAAUUUGUAACGUUGAACGAGUUUA